UGCUCACACCUUUUCAGUCUCAAGUGGAUUUGGGCUGUCUCAGGCAGCCCUGCCCCACGUAAUCCUCUGAGCCCAGAGAGUUUGCCAUCAGCGGAUGUCUUUCGUUAUGAUUUAGGAAAUGUAGGAAAUCCCAAAAUGCCGCUGGUGAAUUAACAAGUUUUAGGCACAGAGUGCCAGAAAGACACACAGCAUCAGGGUAGGCAGGAACCCCGGGUUCCUUUCUGCCUCCUGGCAUUUCUUGCUGUGGUAGCACCUGAGGGUUUGCCAGGUCAGUGGUGUCCUGCAGAGCUCCUCUGUUUUCAGUGCUGGAGGAGAAUCAUUUGUGAGAGUCCUUCAUGGAGCAAAAGCUGUGUCCAAUUCUAUGCUCGGAGAAUUGUGGGAUGAGGAAAAUAAUGCUGUAAGCAGCUCUACUUUAUAGCUUUAUUUACAGAUAUUCAUCAAUUGUUCCUAAAAUGUAGCACAUAAGAAAAAAAGGCUUUGUCCCUAGCCUGCAGAUGGACAAUGUGAGACCUGCAGCAGGUGCAAGGUGUCUGGAGCACAAGGGUGGAGCUGCAGGGAGUCACCGGCAGGACCAUGGCCUGCCUUAAACACUGCCUCAAACUGCAAAGGGAAACAGCUGGCAAGGGGCAGGGAAGCUGUAAUUACAGCCAACAACUGACUCUGAGCCAGUGACUGCUGCUGAGAGCCUGGUCCUGAACCAGAAGCAAAGAACAGGAGCCUUUUCUCUCUGGGGUGAGGCUGUAAUCCCCUCCAGCUACAGCAUCAUUCUCUCCAUUAGUAAGACAAGUUCCUUGGAGCCUGGGCUUUGCCAGAGAAGCUCUCAGCUGUGGGUGUUCUCCUGAGAUUCCUGGUCUCUUCCAAAGGGGCACCCACGAAAGACAACAUAAAGCCACACAAGACAGGCAACCCAGAAAGGCUGGUUUAGUGCAAGGAGGGAGAUCUGACAGCCUGUGCAGGAAGAAGGAGCCUC